CAGAGUUACUAAACUCCCAAACCCAUGUGAACUUACCUUUGUUGCCUCGGCGGUUACCUACCCUGUAGCUACCCUGUACCUACCCGGUAGAGGCCGCCGGUGGAUCUUCAAACUCUUGUCUGAAUAUGGUCAUUCUGAGUAAUUACUAUAAUAAGUCA
rnacentral:misc_RNA from 1 species